AAUUGUAUUCUUAAAAGUGCAGCCAGGUGGGUGAGACAACAAUGGAUCUCCGAAGAUGGAUACAAAACAGUUAAUGGAUGCUGGAAAUUGAUUUUAGAAGAAAGUUAUCGUUAAAAUAAACGUCAAAAAAAAUUCCCUGAGAAAUUUCGAAAAUUUCACUGGACCCAGAUGCCUGACUAUGAAGAAAUCAAAAUUCGAAUGGGAAAAGCAGUUUCGCAAAAUUUUCCAGUAACUUUUUCUCUCGACAGUAUGAAUAUCCUUAGGCAGUAAAAAAUAAAAGUUGCCAGUACCAAGAGGAAUGAAAGUAGACCGUAGAGACUAGUUUAAAUAGUCCAGAAGGAUCUAUUAGAUAUGAAGGGGAUGGCCGACUCCUGUUCAAGUAGCUGGAGGUUCCCCAGGACCAGGAGAGUCUCCGGGGUUAUUUCAGGGAGUCCCCGACUAAACGGAAUGGAUUGAGAAGAAUGCAAGUGGUAGUUCCUCUUUCCGUGGUCUCCUUCCUUUUGUCCAGUGGCAUUCGAAACUUCCUCUUCUUUUCCACUUCUGGAUAUAGAAAUACCUCUAUACGUAUCUGUAUGUACAUUAUAUCUCUCUUUCACCUUCCACCGUCCCAACGUCCACGUCUCGCUUCCUCUCGUUCCAACCACUUCUCAUGGCCGUUCCUACGUCGAAUUCAAGGUCCCACCAAGCUGCGGUAUUUUCUCCCAGAGCGGAAAUCCGCUCUGCAUCCGUACAAUGGACCAUGCUGCCGAUUGAUAGGGACGUUAUGGUCAUGGAUUUGCGAGUCUGGCUAUUGACACUCAGGAUAACGUAUCGAGGAACAAUAUGGGUCACCAAGUCAGCCAACCUAGUGGCUAGUUCGUGGACGUUUGCACUUUGGGUUUCAUCGAUAUCGAAUAUUACCCAGUAGUCGUGAUUACUUGAAAAGCCACUUUAAUUCGCGGAGGAUUGAAAAUGGUGCGGCUGGUUAAAAUUGAUUUUUGAAUUUAUAGAGCCGUCGCGACGCUCCGGCAAGAAACUCGGAGAUGGAAAAUUAUUGUAAUGCAUUUAACUGGGAUAGGACGAGAUUAAGGAUGGCCCGAGAGUAUAUCAGAAAACAAGGAGUGGAUUACUAGUAUUCCGCAUAUCCGUGCGUUCCAGAAUAUCGACAUUAAUUGAACUCGAUAUAUCGAAUCCAUAUUGUUGACCAG